GGAGGGAGCUAGCCCUGUACGAUUCUUCUUCUCUUGGGCCAGGGUCCCCACCCCAGCCCCAGGGUUCUGGGGCGGGCGUUUAGGGGACCAGGCCUGGGGAAGGGGCCAUCAGGGACCCGGGCCUUGAGCAGAGGGCGGGGCCUGGAGGAGGAGCCGAGGGCAGUGUAGGGAGGAGAAGGUGAGGGAGGGGGUGGGGGCGAGGGGAGCAGACAGACAUCCCCAAAACAGGCGUGGGAACAAGGUGGUGGUGCGAAAAGACCAGUACUCGGGGUAGAGAAGGGGGAAAGUGGGGGACAGAGGAGUCAACGGAGCAGCUCGGCUUGCGGAGGUCAGGAAAAGGGAGAGAGGGGUCCUGAGACCCUGGGUUCCAUGUGGCCAGAAAGCUAGAGGCGGAGUUGCAGGAGGCGCGGAGUUUUCCGUCCCGGGAUCUUCGGUUACGCUGAGAAAACCUUAGCAGGUGGAGAUGGAGGAAACGUGGGAGUGUCACAGGUCCGGGCUCUUGCAGCCCGGGAUUCCUGGAUCACCGAGUGAAGCGAUGGGGAGGAGGUUCUCAAUGACUCUCCGAGGUUAAUCAGCACAAGCACUGUGACUUCUGAGUCACCCCCCACCCCAGGGCCAACCAAAGAUGCAGGGCUGGUUGACUCACUUCUCCAGUCCCCAAGGACUCACAAUCCAACAUCCACCAAAUCCAGUUGGCAAGUGGAUGCUUUGGCGGCUAAAGGAGUUUCCCAGCCCUCCAGGCCGUAAGCUGAAGGCGCCUGGCCAACCACAGAGUCUUCCUUCUUGCUCUUCUUUCCAUCCAUCCAUCCUGACUGGCUGUGUGCACUCGGUUCAGAGCUGGAGGGAAGAGAGUGGAUAUGUACAGAAUCUAUCAGAGACUGAGGCUGACAGCAGCAAGAAAUGGACCCUUCCAUCCACCGUAUCAGCAUACCAGAGCACCAACCUGUGUCAGAUGUGGAGCCAGGUACAAGAAUCCCAAGGACUUCAGCUGCUACGACGUGAGAAGUUAGAGGAGGCGUAAACACAGCUUCCCAGUCCUGCACUGGCUGGCUGUGGGGAGUAUUCCAGUCCCCAGUCCACCCUUGUUUCAAGACCACUACUGCAUUUUGCCUGUAAAGCAGCAAUGACUUAUGCUUCCUCCACAUGAUACAAUUAACUGGAGUCCUCCAGAGCCCAGGCUCUGAUUCAGCUCCCUCAGGGCCCUGAUGCUUCAGCACUGAGGUUAAAGAUCCUGGGCCUAAAUCCCUGGAGAAACACAGUUGUUUAUCUUGACUCAUAAAAAGCCACUCAAGAAAGAGGUUUGGUUGCCCUGGGCAGGUAGGUUGGAGACGCCAUAAACAACUCAUUUGAUGGGUUUCCGGAUGAAAAUUUAUUUACCUGAGGUGACGUCUGGGAUUAUCUUCUUCUGGCUCCAGGAUAACUAGCCCUUCAAAGAUUUUAGAGUGAAUGGGGAAGUAGAGAUGGAACAGAAGAAAGAUUAGCUGGGAACUGCAGUGAAUUGAGGUGUCUAAAAUGUCCAUCUCACAAUGGCAGACACAGUCAGCUGGGAGAUCCAGAAGGUGGGUACCCUAAGUUUGCUGAAUCUCACCAAACAGAAGUGGCUUCUUUAAACUGAGAGAGAGAGAGAGAAGACUUAUUUUCAUUUUUCAGUUACUCAUAAAGAGACGGGUGGCCCUGAUUGAUAGGACAGAGGCCAAGGUUCUACUUGAGACUCAGCAGUGACUCCAGCCACUGUAUCCAGAGUCCUCAGGGUUUUCAAAGCUGUUUUUCAUUCCACAGAGAUACAUGAGACCCUAUUCCAUGCAGGCAUCCUGCUGGGCAAGCGAAAUCUGGGGAUGAUGAAGGUUCCCCAAGGAACCUUUCUUUUUAAAUAUGGUUCCUAAGCUCUCAUACUAUGGCUCCCAGGAGCCAGAGCUCUAGAGAAGUUUCACCUGAUUUGUGGGAUUCCCACCACCACCCAUAAUGCCAAAUCUUGUUUCUCCAUCACUUUUCAGGAUGAAAAGCUGAAUUAGUCAGUGAGCAUUUUGAGUUAUUGCAUGUGCCGGGUCCUAAGCUAGCGAUUGUAAAGGAAAUGCUUAGGACAGUCUUCGCCCUCAAGAAACUGUCCAACAGGACACAGGGUCAAAUGAGAUGGGUGAUGAGAUGGGUGAGCACUAGACCGCCCAGGUUUAACGAGUGCGCCUGCGUAUGUACCUGUGUGUUUGUGCAUGUGAAGGCCAGAAGGCAACCUCGGGGGUGGGCUUUUGGUUUAUUUAGUUGUUGUUUACUUUUCUUUGUUUUGUGACCUGGAAAUUAAAAAAAAAAAAAAAAAGGCUAAGCUGCCUGGAGUCAACUGCCUCCAGCUCCCCAGAGCUUGGACGGAAAAAAACAGUUGCUCUCACAGCCAACUUUUUAAUGUGGAUUCUGGGGAGCGAGCUCCUUUACUGACUGACCUAUCUCCCUGGUCCCUCUGCUGAAUUCUAACUGAGCCGCUAAGUAUCCAUUGUUAAUUUCUAUGCCUCAGUUUCCUCCCCCAUAAGAUUGGGCUUAACACAACAGGACCUUUAUUGACACUUUCUCAUAAGGAUUAAAUGAGAUAACUAACACAAAUAACUUUUUCAUUCAGACUGACAUAGAAAACCAACCUUAUUGGCUCUCUCUCUCUCUCUCUCUCUCUCUCUCUCUCUCUCUCUCUCUCUCUUGGAAAAUGGAGGCAAGAGAAUUACCAGUUGAGGCCAGCCUGGAGUACACGGCGAGCCCCUAUGUAUUGAUAUUAAAUGGCCAGAAGCAUUAGAGAGGAGAAAGUUUAGUUAUGGAAGGCUGCCUGGAAUAGGCUAUGUAACACCAGAACUUUGAUGCUCCAGUUUCUCUGAGGGUAGAUUCUUGCAUCAUUCCUUUACCUCUGCUCUCUCUGCCACUUGGUACAAUGCAAGGCUUUGGGUGAAAUCUGUUUGUGGAGUGAACAACUGUCUAUCACAGGGUUGGGGCAGGUACAAUGAACCAGGGGCAUUCUUCCACAACGAAGCAGGUAAAAGAAGACUGGUGUCUUGCAGGAGACAUGAAAAUGGUGACAUUGUUUGUAACAGUGUGUCACCUAUUUCAUGUGAAAUGGAAGCAUUAGCCAGUGGAGGGUGGAAAGACUCUCAGCUGGAUCACAACCUGAUCACCAAGUAAAGAAAUUUCCUGUCCUUUCCAAAUGUUCCUGCUGUAGAGUUCUGGUGAGCUGGGGCUUCGCCCACCUCCUUCUGAAUUUAAAUAAACUUCAGACUAACAUUCAAAUUUAGCGAGGUAUAUGGUUUCCGUUUUAAUCUCAAUCACAUGUCUGUUUCUUGU